GACGAACGCUGGCGGCGUGCUUAACACAUGCAAGUCGAACGGAAAGGCCCUGCUUUUGUGGGGUGCUCGAGUGGCGAACGGGUGAGUAACACGUGAGUAACCUGCCCUUGACUUUGGGAUAACUUCAGGAAACUGGGGCUAAUACCGGAUAGGAGCUCCUGCUGCAUGGUGGGGGUUGGAAAGUUUCGGCGGUUGGGGAUGGACUCGCGGCUUAUCAGCUUGUUGGUGGGGUAGUGGCUUACCAAGGCUUUGACGGGUAGCCGGCCUGAGAGGGUGACCGGCCAUAUUGGGACUGAGAUACGGCCCAGACUCCUACGGGAGGCAGCAGUGGGGAAUAUUGCACAAUGGGCGGAAGCCUGAUGCAGCAACGCCGCGUGCGGGAUGACGGCCUUCGGGUUGUAAACCGCUUUCGCCUGCGACGAAGCGUGAGUGACGGUAAUGGGUAAAGAGGCACCGGCUAACUACGUG
rnacentral:rRNA from 1 species